UGAGAAGUGGAUAAAAGUUAGCGACUUAAUAAAGCUUCAACUAAGAAACACACUUCAACAAAAAUCGCGAGGACACUGUAGCGUGUACUCUAUUUUAUAUCAAUUUUCUAAAUUUUGUAACUUCCCGAAAGAUUGCUCUGUACGGAAGGUUGAAAGAGACUAGAAAAGCAGCCAAUAGCAUUUGCUGGUACCCUAGCAAAUACAAACGUUAACAUUUAAAAAUGAGAACAAAAAACCAAAUGAAAUAUUUAAAUAAUGAAGACAAAUUGAAUCGUAUUAAGGCAGCAAUAUGAAG